GUUCAGUCCACCCGAUUUGUUCUGUGUGGUUUACUAGACUUUGACGUCUUUAGUUUAUACACAAAUAUAUAUACAUAUAUAUUUUAAAUUAGCUAUUUCUUAAUCUAUCUGGAUGUUUUAAACAUGUGUAUAUUUAACUGGAUAGGAAAUGAUUGAUUAAAAAUAGACUGAUGGGUCAGACUUCUAGUCAACCCUCCAGAAGAAAGACCUAUCAGACUGAAAAUGAAUGCAAGAUUACUGGUCAUAACAGAUACUCAGAUGAACUGGAGUCAACUGAGGUGGGAACUGCAAAAGAGGCUUGGACAAAUGUCACUGGAAAACAGAAGAAGAGCAGAAGGACAGUUCUUGCUUUCAGCCAGAUGGUGAACCUGCUUAUCUGCUGCAGGGGAAAAACAAGAGUGAAAAAGUUGAAUCUUUCUAAGAGCAACAGAGAUGACAUUAAUGCUCAUAACAGAUGCUUUUGUACAGAGAAAUUGGAAUCAAUUGAGAUGAGAACUGCAAGUGACGCCUUUAUAAAUGCUUUUGGGAAACAGAAGAGGAGCAGAGAGGCCACCAAGGCCUUUCGGCCAGCGGUGAAUUCCUGCAGAGGAAAAACUUCGGUCAAAAAUGUUAAACCUCCACACUGUGUCACUGACAAGACUGAUGCCCAUAACAGACAUUUGGGUAAAGGUAAGAGAUUAAUGUAGGACUUUGAAAAUGCCAACACAUUUUACUUGAUUUACUUGGAAAAAACUGCCAUACUUAAAGGGGUCAGAUACAACUGAAAUCCAGAAAACAAAUAAGAUCCAUUUGGGACUGAACAAUCCAAGACAAUUCAAGACAUAAGGGGUAGGGCCAAAAAGAGAAUAUGCACCCUGAGUUCUGAGUUGCAAUAUUAAGGCUAAAUAGUUCUAUACUCAGUACUCCUGCUGUUCUGUGCCUCUACAGUGUAGAUUUUUCAAAUGCAACUGCUUUAACAGUGGAUCCAUUUAAAGUGCAAUAGGAUUAUACAUCCACUGCAGUGAUUGAAAGACAUGAAAUGAGUGGUACUGAACUGAAAUAAUACAUUAUAUGGGACAACUGCAACACCAUAAAUUGAUCUUAUUAAGUCAAGUGAAAUUUUAUUUUUUCAAAAACAUAAAAUAUGUAUACAGGUAACUGAGCACAAAUUUAGAUCUAGCUUUACAUACUGUGCACUAACCAAUAUUGCAUCUUCAGUUGGACGGGACCUGAUGCCUCUGUGGUUUAAACAAAUUUGUGGUUAAAUUAAUCAUGUUCAAACUGCACUGUAUGUGCUCAAUUAUUUUAGUACACAUGUUAAAUUUAUAUUUGAAAUAACAAGUUUCAUUUGAUGAAUCACAGAGCUGCAGUACACACACACACACACACACACACACACAUUCUCAGAACCGCUUGU
rnacentral:lncRNA from 1 species